CAACCUCAUUCAGAAGGCUUGGUUCAGUCCAAUGCUGCUUUCCCAACUUUAUGCAACUGGGGUCCAUGUCCUCUCACUUGGUCAGUUGUACAGUUACAGCCUGGGAUACUUAUCUAUUCACCAGUUGAAGGACACCAGAGCAAGAACACUAGAAAUGAAGAUGAAAAGAGGCAUUCAAUUGGAUAGACAGAGAGCAGUGAAGAACUCCUACCUGGUUCAGCACUGGACAACGAGAAGACUUCUACCACCUCUCAUAAGACCAGAAACUCGACCAUCACUUUUCUACUGGAAUACUAAAAACCUUCAGAGGACUAAUUAAGAAGAUACUCAUCCAUAUAUAUUUAUCACCUGCUCAAAGAAACUGUCCUUCUGUCUAAUAUGAUUUGACAACAUGUGUUGCUUUCUUCUUUGUGUUUGUAAAGAGUAGAA